CAAGAUUUCAUACAAAACAGCGUAGAAUGAAGAAUCUGUUCGAUAGAUUUCGAAACUCUUACAUAAUUUAUUUGCUUGAUCUCGAAAUGAACGACUGGGUCAUUCAUGAGAAACUUUCGCACUUGAUCGACGGUCGCCACAUUCGUAAUCCUUUCUUCAACCUGAAAAGAGGAAAACUCGUCAAAGAGGACAGCUAGCGGCUGAAACAGGAUAGGUUACGGUUUUACACCCAUUGUCCAUGAUUAGUCGCUAUGUCAUUCUUGAUUUAAAAAGAUCUACUUUUUCCAGCUGGCCGUAGUAUUCGGAAUAUGAUUUUUCAUGGGAAACACAGUGGUCGGCGCUCUAAGAAAAUGGAGAGAGCGGGAUAUUUUUGCAACCGAAAAGAGUCUCGAGUGGAAAAAAUUUAAGAAGCAAAUUACGCCUUCUGUUCACCGUUCUGCAGAUCACCUCGAACAGAACUUUUCAAAAAGCAUUUUUUUGCACUCAUAUUUCCCCAUAAACCCGAGAAAAUUUUCCAGGGCACUAUUGUGCAGUAAGCCUUUCAAAAGUUUAAUAAAUAAAAAUGGCAAGUUGCAACACUGUUCCGAUGGAGAGCACAAACCUGACUUACUCACCAUCUUGUAAAAACUGCAGUGGAGUAGAAGACAUCAAAUCAUAUGAAAAGCCAUCUCAUAUAGCUAUCACCUUGGAUACGGACAGUCAUGAAAUAGAAGAUUUUGAUCACAUUGACGAGUUUAUCAUGUAUUUUGUGAGUUUCCUGAGAAGACUUAGAAAAAUAUACUUGACUUCUAAGGUAAAACACAAACAAUCGCUUAAUCAUAAUGAGAUGUAGAAAAACUGUAAAAUUUUUGUACAAACUUAUAUUGAUGCCAAGUUUAAUGUGUAACGCAAUAUGUAUAAUAGCAACAAAAAUAGAAAAAUAAAUAUCUGUUAUAUAAUGUACAAUAAUGAUUAGACAAAGGAGCACGUUUAGUAAACUACCGUACGGUUAAAAUUUCGUAUGUAAAAAAUAUCACAAUUACUAACAUUCUACGUUUAAUCAGUUGAAAUAUUUUCCUAGUGAAAAUUGUUGAUAUUAUAAAAGGAUAAACAGAAUGUAUUAAUGAGUUAUUGCUAAUAUAUUUUAAUCGGAUUGUGUCCACAAUGUACAAGAAACUUUUGCACUAAAAUUCACUGUGCUUGCUAUAUAUACAUAUAUGACCACAAAAUUAAACCAUUUGAACAACAGAUAUCUUUUUCAGAGUAUGCAUAACUAUCAAUCGGAUUUUCCAUUGUUUUUUAUUAUUAUUAUUAUUUUAUUUUUUUAUGAAGCAAAUAAAUAUUUGGCAAUAGUAUUUAAA